rnacentral:rRNA from 1 species
AUGGAGGCGUGCUGCUGCUCCUCGUCGUCGGCCCCGCCCGCCUCCAUCCUCGCCACGGGCGCCGGCCUCCGCCGCCGCUUCUCCCCGGCAGCGGUUGCGGCCGCGGCGUCGGGCGGGAGGGCGGUGGCGCUCGCGCUUGCGCCCCCGCUCCGCGCCUCCUCCGCGGCUCUGCUGGCGGCGGCGCCUCGGCGGGGGCAGCAGCGGCGCGGGGCCGCGGGCCUCGUCGUCAGGGCGGUGUUCGAGCGGUUCACCGAGCGGGCGGUCAAGGCGGUGGUGCUCUCGCAGCGGGAGGCCCGCGGGAUGGGGGACGAGGUGGUGGCGCCGCACCACCUGCUGCUGGGCCUCGUCGCCGAGGACCGGUCCGCCGCGGGGUUCCUCGCGUCGGGCGUCCGAAUGGAGCGCGCCCGCGAGGCGUGCCGCGCCGCCGUCGGGAAGGGCGGGCCUGCUCAGGCCGCGACGGGGCUGGCCACGGACGUGCCCUUCUCUGGGGCCAGCAAGCGCGUGUUCGUCGCGGCCGUCGAGUUCUCCAGGAAUAUGGGGUGCAACUUUAUCUCCCCGGACCACAUUGCGCUCGGCCUCUUCGACCUGGACGAUCCGACAACCAACAGCAUCCUCAAGAGCUUAGGAGUAGUUCCCACUCAGCUAGCAAAGCAGGCUCUUACCCGAGUCAAAGGGGAGCUAGCAAAGGAUGGCAGAGAGCCUCUGGGUUUGUCUUCUUUCAAAUUGCGUGAUAAGUCUACUGCUGGAAAUGGGAGGACUGCCAUUGCCAAAUACUCCAAUAAAAAGAAAGAGAAGAGCGCACUAGCUCAAUUCUGUAUAGAUUUGACUAUGCGAGCCAGUGGAGGGUUUAUCGAUCCUGUUAUUGGUCGCACGAAGGAGAUUGAAAGAGUAGUUCAGAUUAUAUGCCGGCGCACAAAGAACAAUCCAAUUCUUUUGGGUGAAGCAGGUGUUGGCAAAACUGCCAUUGCUGAAGGGUUGGCUCUUAAAAUUGCUAAUGGAGAUGUACCUAUUUUUCUUGUGGGAAAACGUAUAUUGUCACUAGAUGUUGCUUUACUGAUGGCUGGUGCAAAAGAGAGGGGCGAAUUGGAAGCCAGGGUUACAAGCUUAAUACGUGAAGUGCGCAAAGCAGAUGAUGUUAUUCUUUUUAUCGACGAGGUUCAUACUCUUAUUGGCUCUGGAAUUGCUGGAAGAGGAAAUAAGGGAGCUGGUCUUGAUAUCGCUAAUCUGCUGAAACCUGCACUUGCUAGAGGUGAAUUGCAGUGCAUUGCAUCUACAACUCUGGAUGAGCACCGUUUGCAUUUCGAAAAGGAUAAGGCUUUGGCCCGCCGAUUCCAGCCAGUAUAUGUAAAUGAGCCCAGUCAGGAGGAUGCUGUGAAGAUAUUACUUGGUCUGCGUGAAAAAUAUGAGACUUAUCACAAAUGCAAAUACACCUUAGAAGGCAUCAAUGCAGCAGUUUAUUUAUCAGUGAGGUAUAUCCCUGACAGGCAUCUUCCUGACAAGGCUAUUGACCUAAUUGAUGAGGCUGGUAGCAGAGCUCGGAUGGAAUCAUUUAAAAAGAAGAAGGAAGAGCAGUGCUCUAUUAUUUUGAAGUCACCAGAUGAAUAUUGGCAAGAGAUUAGAGCUGUCCAGGCCAUGCAUGAAGUGGCACUGACUAACAGGUUGAAAUAUUCUCUAAAUGAAAAUGACCAAGAGAAUGAGGUUAAUGUUGAAGUACUGGAUGAUAGCAAGACAAGCCCGACAACAACACCCUCAGCUUCAGCUGAUGAACCAUCUGUGGUUGGGUUAGAGGAAAUUGCAAGAGUGACAUCAUUGUGGUCCGGCAUACCAGUCCAGCAGUUGACUGCAGAUGAAAGAAAGCUUCUAGUAGGACUAGACGAUGAACUCAGAAAGCGUGUCAUAGGUCAAGAUGAUGCUGUUGUGGCUAUAUCAAGAGCUGUGAAGAGAUCACGCACUGGCAUGAGUGAUCCUGACAGACCUAUUGCUACUCUACUUUUCUGUGGUCCAACAGGAGUUGGAAAGACUGAAUUAACUAAAGCUCUAGCAUCAACUUAUUUUGGAUCUGAGUCGGCUAUGGUUAGAUUGGAUAUGAGUGAGUACAUGGAGCGGCAUGCUGUGAGCAAGCUGAUAGGCUCUCCUCCAGGGUACAUGGGAUUUGGUGAAGGUGGUACUUUGACAGAAGCAGUCAGAAGAAAACCAUUCACUGUGGUAUUGUUUGAUGAAAUAGAGAAAGCUCAUCCUGAUAUUUUCAAUAUUCUUCUCCAAGUGUUUGAAGAUGGUCAUUUGACGGACUCACAGGGCCGCAGGGUUUCCUUCAAGAAUACAUUAAUUGUCAUGACAUCGAAUGUUGGUUCUACAUCGAUUUCCAAAGGAACGAUGAGCAUGGGUUUCCAGACGCAGAAUGAUACAGAAGAGAACACAUAUGCUGUAAUAAAAUCCUUGGUAAUGGAAGAGUUGAAGGCAUUUUUUCGACCUGAAUUGCUCAAUAGAAUGGAUGAGGUGGUUGUGUUCCGUCCACUUGAGAAGACUCAGAUGCUGGCUAUUCUUAAUAUAAUUCUGGAAGAGGUGAACGGUAGGCUGUUGGCGCUCGGUAUCGGCUUAGUAGUGUCUGAUGCCAUGAAGAACAUGAUUUCUCAGCAAGGAUACGACAAGAGCUAUGGUGCGCGGCCACUUAGAAGGGCGGUCACUCAGUUGGUUGAGGAUGUCAUCAGCGAAGCAAUUCUCUCUGGGCAGUACAAACCUGGCGAUACCAUAAUGAUGGACACUGAUGACAAGGGAAAACCUUGCUUGAGCCGGUUGAAUGAUCAGACUGUUCAAGUUUCUGAUCCAACACCAACGCUUUGA